AGAGCACGGGUCCUCCCUUGCCUCCCGAUUCCAGUUGCCAAAAGGCGACCGACCCCGGCGACGCUCGAUCCGGUGAGCCUGGAGCGCUCUCCUCGCCGCCGGUGCCAUGGCGCUGGUCGCUGUCGCGGCUGUCUUCUUCCCCUGGCCCCGCCUCUCGCCUCCCGUGUACGCGCGCUCCUCCCCCUCUGUCCCACCCCCUCGCUGCCGACCCCGCCCGCCCCUUCGCCGCCGCCAUGGCCGUCCGCGUGCUCCGUGUCGACAACUACGACUCCCCCGCGCACAGGAGCCCCUUCUCCUUCUCCUAAACGUGCACAAACUCCUCCUAAACAGCGCGUGCACCGCCUCCGAUCUGUGCUCUCUCUCCUCUCCAUGACGCCGAUUUGUCCUCUUCGGCUUCCUUCCAGCUCCAUGUGCUCCUUCCUCUCCCCACCGCCCCCAAUCCUACCCGGUGCCACACCCAGCCUCGUCCACGUCGAUCUCCUGGCGCUGGCGGCUGCGUUCAAUUUGGAUGGAAUUCAGUGCCAUGUCCGUGCAAAAGAAAUACUCCAACACGAUAGCCAUGGAUGGCGGAUCUGGAUUUCACAAAUUCUUCAGUGCCAUAAAAAGAAAGCCUCCACCGGAUUAGAUCACAAGUUCUGAAGAUGAACAGCUCAAUGUUGCGUCCGCCGACUUCGUCGUCGCCUCCGCCAACUUCGCCUGAAGACCAUCCUCCGUUGUCUUCAUCGAUUUUAACGCAAGAACAUCCGCAAUCGCCUCCGCCGACUUUGCCGGAAGACCAUUAGACGUCGCCUAGACCUACUUCGUCGCAGGUAUCUUUUUUCUUUGUGCAAAAUAUGAUGGAGCUAUGUUCGAUUUACAAAGAUUUACAGCCAGAGUUUACUGAUGGUUAAACUAGCAAUUUGAAUUGGCGUGAGCAAGUAUUUAACGCAAUUGGUCUGUUGGCAUAGGCUCAAGCAAGAAACUCAUCGAUCUGUACUUUCGCCAUCUUGUUUCCUCUGUCAAACUAGCUGCAGCAAUAGUGCUUCUUGCUGUACAAUAUCGGCAUGCCAAUUGAUACAAUAGUUUUGUCAACUGAUUCAUGUUGUAGUGCUUCUUGCUGUACAAUACCACAUCUGGUUUCCACCAAGAAGCUGGAUCAGCGACAUUGGACUCUGGUAAGCUCGUGAAAAUUCUUGCAAUCCAGACUUGGGAGAGUCAAAUUUACAAGUAGCUUUUAUAAUGAUAGCUAACAUCAGCUUACUAUGGUUUAUUUGGUCCAUGUAGAGCUGGCAUGGUACGGCUACACUUCCAAUAGUUUUACUUGCUAACAAAAAUCAAGUAUAACUAAAAGAACAGAUCUUUCUCUUGCUGAAAUAGGUUUGGACGCACGGUGUGGUAUAUAUAUGUUAAGUUUAGCCGUAUGUAAUAAUGCAAUGCUCAUGGUUUAUAGUGCUACAUAUUUGCUUAGUGGGCAGGAAUAACUGGUUAGCCUUCCAUAACUUCUAUUUCUAUUACUGCAGAAUAAUUGUUUUUUACAUGGAGCUGACUGUUAUUUCUUCUUUUUCAUCAGGAUUUAAUACAUCAAGUUAACUGCUAUUCCUUCUUUUGUUCCAGUAGUUAAGGGCGCAUUUCGGAGGGGAGCAUACGUAUUACCUUGAUUGAGUUUAGUUUCGUGUGCUGCAUUACUGUUAUAAUUAAGUUACCAGCAGCAAAGAAAGAGAGUCAUGUAGGCACUAAAACUGAUAAGGUAGUUUGCUCUUGCAGAUCAGAUGGUUGAUCAUUUUUCCAUACAAGUGCUACUAAACUCUACCAAGUUCUAUAAUGACACAAUAGUAACUUGUCACAUGACAAGUUUACUGAGUAAUGAGUAUGCACAGAAGCUUUGAUUCUUUGUCAUCUAUAGUCUACUUGGAAUAUAACUCACAAGCCCCGGAUCACGGCGUUCCCGUGGAGGAAGAGGGUGGCGGGGUCGAGCUCCUGUGAAUAGAGAGGGAGGCGAGGAUGGGUGCGGCAGGUAGAGCCCCGUCCUCCUUUGUCCUCUCCCAUCGAGCGUCGUAUCAAAGAAGCAGCAGCUCCCAACCUCCAUCCCGUCUCCUCUCCUACAUCGGCUGUGCCACGCCGCACUCGUGGACCAGAGUCGCGGAAGCACAUGGACAGUGCAAUGUCAACCGUUGGAUCUGCAGACAUUAAAGUCGCCGGCAUAAAAAGAGAUCUUGUGGACGUAUAGGAUGAGGUGCAAACCGCAGAGCGAUCUUCCUGGCUUCAGCAUAAAGGGAGCUGUUAAUCAGCGCCAACUGAUGAUGAGGAAUAAGCUCCUGUUUUCUUGUUUGUUUAGUACUUGACCAUACAAAGAACUGCUUUGUAAAUAGCGACAUCGAAUCAAAACGAGCGAAGUAGCAUUCCUGGGAAAAUGGAUAGAUAGGGGUCUCUAACAGAUAUUACCAUGUGUUAUUGCAUCUCAAGAUAGGCAAGUAUCUCUGACAGAUGUUAGCAUAUAUUCUUGCAUCUCGAGAUGAUAUUGGAUAGCUUGCGUGUGCAUAUAUCUCAAGGAUAAUUGAUUUAUGUUAUAUGGCUGCAGUCAUGCUUGCAUUAGCAUCAAUUAAUAUUAUGUGACUGUUCUUUUUGGUUGACCCAUGGUCUCCUUGUGAUAUUAUAGUAAUCCAGACCUAAUUAGGGCACCGGUUCAUGUCUCAUUACACUAUUCACUGCCCACAGUAAUUCAGAGUUGUAGAUAGGGACGGAGCGGUGAGAACUGAUUGUCCUCUACUCCUUUUUGUACGUUUGAUUGAACAGUCGACCUCAAUAUAAUAUCACUUUGAUUAACAUAUUAUGUGAUAAUUUUUUCUCUUGAUUGCAAAAGAAAAAACAAAUGCCCAUUUGGUCUUUUGGGGCCUGCAGUAGAGUUACCUCUAUUCCACUGAUGAUAUUAACUAGCUUUCCUGGCCAGUUUGAUAUUUGGUUUCUCAUACUAGGAGUCGUUAAUAAGCUGCAACUAAUGAGAUGGAACGAUAUUUUUGUGUGUGUAGCACUUAACCACAAGAAGAAACUGUUUUGUGAAUAUUGGCAUUGAAUAGUAACGAAUGAAGUAGCGAUACUGGGAAAUGGAUAGGCUGGUGUCUAGCAGGUGCUAGCAUCUAUUCUUUGCAUCUGAGGAUGAUCUGGUACACAAAUUUUCUCUCUCUGUUGUACGAUGAUCUUAAUAGAUCAGUAACCUGUAUGAGAAACAAUAUUUGUCAUUUUGAUUAUCAGAUAGUCACUUCGUCAGGUACCAAUGUAUCUUUUGGAUGCUGUA